GUGGAGCCACCAAGGAUGAUUGCUGCAAGACCAUGAAGUGUGCUUUACGCCAUGUCCUCUCAUCGAUGUCCAUCCGAGCUUUCCUCCCUAGUGUGCCCUUUCCCUUGAGUCUCCCCUCAUGGCAUGAUACAAAGACUCCAAUCAAACUCAAGUCGUAAAUAAAGUCAACACAAACUCAAGGACCUCCUCCGUUCCAUAUCCCUUUGCGAUGCUUCCUUUUGAAUGGGCAUGAUUACGAAUAAACUUCAUUAGAACCGCCAUAAACCUCUCAAAAGAGAACAUAUUAUGUAGAAAUACAGGAUCAAGA
rnacentral:lncRNA from 1 species